rnacentral:rRNA from 1 species
CCCCGCCUGGGGAGUACGGGUGAGGUAACGGCUCACCAAGGCGACGACGGGUAGCCGGCCUGAGAGGGUGACCGGCCACACUGGGACUGAGACACGGCCCAGACUCCUACGGGAGGCAGCAGUGGGGAAUAUUGCACAAUGGGCGCAAGCCUGAUGCAGCAACGCCGCGUGGGGGACGACGGCCUUCGGGUUGUAAACCUCUUUUAGCAGGGAAGAAGCGCAAGUGACGGUACCUGCAGAAAAAGCACCGGCUAACUACGUGCCAGCAGCCGCGGUAAUACGUAGGGUGCAAGCGUUGUCCGGAAUUAUUGGGCGUAAAGAGCUCGUAGGCGGUUCAGUAAGUCGGGUGUGAAAACUCAAGGCUCAACCUUGAGACGCCACUCGAUACUGCUGUGACUUGAGUCCGGUAGAGGAGUGUGGAAUUCCUGGUGUAGCGGUGAAAUGCGCAGAUAUCAGGAGGAACACCAGCGGCGAAGGCGGCACUCUGGGCCGGUACUGACGCUGAGGAGCGAAAGCAUGGGGAGCAAACAGGAUUAGAUACCCUGGUAGUCCAUGCCGUAAACGUUGGGCACUAGGUGUGGGAUUUAACUAACAAAUUCCGUGCCGUAGCUAACGCAUUAAGUGCCCCGCCUGGGGAGUACGG